AGACCCGAAACCCGGUGAUCUAGCCAUGGGCAGGUUGAAGGUUGGGUAACACUAACUGGAGGACCGAACCGACUAAUGUUGAAAAAUUAGCGGAUGACCUGUGGCUGGGGGUGAAAGGCCAAUCAAACCGGGAGAUAGCUGGUUCUCCCCGAAAGCUAUUUAGGUAGCGCCUCGUGAAUUCAUCUCCGGGGGUAGAGCACUGUUUCGGCUAGGGGGCCAUCCCGGCUUACCAACCCGAUGCAAACUGCGAAUACCGGAGAAUGUUAUCACGGGAGACACACGGCGGGUGCUAACGUCCGUCGUGAAGAGGGAAACAACCCAGACCGCCAGCUAAGGUCCCAAAGUCAUGGUUAAGUGGGAAACGAUGUGGGAAGGCCC
rnacentral:rRNA from 1 species